AGUGAACGCUGGCGGUAGGCCUAACACAUGCAAGUCGAACGGCAGCACAGUAAGAGCUUGCUCUUAUGGGUGGCGAGUGGCGGACGGGUGAGGUAUACAUCGGAAUCUACUUUUUCGUGGGGGAUAACGUAGGGAAACUUACGCUAAUAUCGCAUACGACCUACGGGUGAAAGCAGGGGAUCUUCGGACCUUGCGCGAUUGAAUGAGCCGAUGUAGGAUUAGCUAGUUGGCGGGGUAAAGGCCCACCAAGGCGACGAUCCGUAGCUGGUGUGAGAGGAUGGUCAGCCACACUGGAACUGAGACACGGCCCUUACGCCUGCGAUAGGCCGCAGUGUGCUAUAGUAGGCAAUGGGGGCGAACCUGAUCCAGCCGGCCCACGUCUGUGGAAAAGACCUUCGGUUUGUAAAGACCUUUUUUUGGGAAUGAAAAGCUGCAGGUUAGUACCCCGCUGUAGUGACGGUACCCAAAGAAUAAGCACCGGCUAACUACGUG
rnacentral:rRNA from 1 species